CGCUAUGGCGGACUUGCACGGGCAACCUUCGGGUUGGCCGUUAUCCUUGGCGGUAUUGCGACCCCGUGUAAGUCCGUCUCCCUA
rnacentral:antisense_RNA from 2 species